rnacentral:rRNA from 1 species
UUUAUGGAGAGUUUGAUCCUGGCUCAGGAUGAACGCUGGCGGCGUGCCUAAUACAUGCAAGUCGAGCGAACGGACGAGAAGCUUGCUUCUCUGAUGUUAGCGGCGGACGGGUGAGUAACACGUGGAUAACCUACCUAUAAGACUGGGAUAACUUCGGGAAACCGGAGCUAAUACCGGAUAAUAUUUUGAACCGCAUGGUUCAAAAGUGAAAGACGGUCUUGCUGUCACUUAUAGAUGGAUCCGCGCUGCAUUAGCUAGUUGGUAAGGUAACGGCUUACCAAGGCAACGAUGCAUAGCCGACCUGAGAGGGUGAUCGGCCACACUGGAACUGAGACACGGUCCAGACUCCUACGGGAGGCAGCAGUAGGGAAUCUUCCGCAAUGGGCGAAAGCCUGACGGAGCAACGCCGCGUGAGUGAUGAAGGUCUUCGGAUCGUAAAACUCUGUUAUUAGGGAAGAACAUAUGUGUAAGUAACUGUGCACAUCUUGACGGUACCUAAUCAGAAAGCCACGGCUAACUACGUGCCAGCAGCCGCGGUAAUACGUAGGUGGCAAGCGUUAUCCGGAAUUAUUGGGCGUAAAGCGCGCGUAGGCGGUUUUUUAAGUCUGAUGUGAAAGCCCACGGCUCAACCGUGGAGGGUCAUUGGAAACUGGAAAACUUGAGUGCAGAAGAGGAAAGUGGAAUUCCAUGUGUAGCGGUGAAAUGCGCAGAGAUAUGGAGGAACACCAGUGGCGAAGGCGAUUUUCUGGUCUGUAACUGACGCUGAUGUGCGAAAGCGUGGGGAUCAAACAGGAUUAGAUACCCUGGUAGUCCACGCCGUAAACGAUGAGUGCUAAGUGUUAGGGGUUUCCGCCCCUUAGUGCUGCAGCUAACGCAUUAAGCACUCCGCCUGGGGAGUACGACCGCAAGGUUGAAACUCAAAGGAAUUGACGGGGACCCGCACAAGCGGUGGAGCAUGUGGUUUAAUUCGAAGCAACGCGAAGAACCUUACCAAAUCUUGACAUCCUUUGACAACUCUAGAGAUAGAGCCUUCCCCUUCGGGGGACAAAGUGACAGGUGGUGCAUGGUUGUCGUCAGCUCGUGUCGUGAGAUGUUGGGUUAAGUCCCGCAACGAGCGCAACCCUUAAGCUUAGUUGCCAUCAUUAAGUUGGGCACUCUAAGUUGACUGCCGGUGACAAACCGGAGGAAGGUGGGGAUGACGUCAAAUCAUCAUGCCCCUUAUGAUUUGGGCUACACACGUGCUACAAUGGACAAUACAAAGGGCAGCGAAACCGCGAGGUCAAGCAAAUCCCAUAAAGUUGUUCUCAGUUCGGAUUGUAGUCUGCAACUCGACUACAUGAAGCUGGAAUCGCUAGUAAUCGUAGAUCAGCAUGCUACGGUGAAUACGUUCCCGGGUCUUGUACACACCGCCCGUCACACCACGAGAGUUUGUAACACCCGAAGCCGGUGGAGUAACCUUUUAGGAGCUAGCCGUCGAAGGUGGGACAAAUGAUUGGGGUGAAGUCGUAACAAGGUAGCCGUAUCGGAAGGUGCGGCUGGAUCACCUCCUUU